CGAGAAAGCCCGCAAGGGUGAGUAAAGCGGCGCACGGGUGCGUAACACGUGGGUAAUCUGCCCUAGAGUCCGGAAUAACUCGCCGAAAGGCGUGCUAAUGCCGGAUGAGACCACGGGAGCCUUGGCUCCUGCGGGAAAAGGUGGCCUCUGUAUACAAGCUAUCGCUCUAGGAUGAGCCCGCGGCCCAUCAGCUCGUUGGCGGGGUAAUGGCCCACCAAGGCUACGACGGGUAGCUGGUCUGAGAGGACGAUCAGCCACACUGGAACUGAGACACGGUCCAGACUCCUACGGGAGGCAGCAGUGGGGAAUCUUGCGCAAUGGGCGAAAGCCUGACGCAGCAACGCCGCGUGUGUGAUGAAGGUCUUCGGAUCGUAAAGCACUGUCGCGAGGGACG
rnacentral:rRNA from 1 species